CCUUGUUGAAGUCUAUUAUGUGACAGAAAAUCAUUCCGUCUCAAGGCGGGAAGUUCUCCGUCAAGAUCACAGAUUUAAUUGUACCGACCAGAAGCUGUAUCCUAAUGUACCGCUGAGCUUGAGUGGGAACCACGAGAGAAUGACAAUGACCAUAAUUGUAUUUUCAAAGUUGACAGCAAGACUUCACUGUUGUAUUCAAUUCAAGUGCCGGAAUACAAUAAAAUGACAAUCAUAAUGCACGGAUCGUGCUUUUUUUAGUGAAGAUUUGGAUGGUGGACGGUGAGAGUUUCUGAUAGAGGUGAAUUUUGUCCAAAAUGAUAAGGUAGGCUGCUUUAUUUUCAUUCGUUUGGAAGAGGAGUAUGAAAAUACACGGGUUGACAUUUUGCUUCCAUAAAUUUGGAUAGCGGAGGUCAAAAGACCUUUCAAAUGAUGCGAUUUGAGCUCAAAAUGAAGAGGUAAGCUGAUUUAUUUAGGAAAAAUUCUAAAGGAGAGUGAAAAUGAACAGGUUUGAGUUGCGAGUACUUAAGAUUUGGAAUCAUGAGUCUAAGAGCUUUUGAGUGACAUAAACAGUGAGGAAACAGGAUAGGCAGGGUGUAUUAUUUCUCAAGGAUUGAAAUUUUUGUUUUGUUUCGUCAGAUCGCAAUAUAUAUGUUUUCCAAAAAAAAGCAGAGAUCGAGUUUUGACACUUCAGAAUACUAAUCGUGCUGGAUACGUGACCAGUUUUGAUGUAGCUCUUUGUUUUUUCUAUCAGGUCUUUGUUGGCUGAUAUCGGAUAAUUCUAUUUUUUCUAUAAUCAGUGACAGCUUUUUUUCAAUAUAGAGAAUUCGGAGAGCUUUGGAAGGGCGUAAAUUCUGAAGAGUUGAGCAUUGGUUGCUAGAGAUUUGAAUUGCGGAGGAGGUCGAGAGUUCUUGAAUAUUGUAUUAGCGCCUAAACCAAAAGCUUAAAUGCAACGCACAAAAGAAGGAAAAGGACGGUGAAAAUGCUAUAGAUAAAGAUUUGUAUUGUGGAACCAAAUGAAUUACAAAGAACACAAAGAUGCGGUGGAGAAGGUUUCACUGUAAAAGUUCCAGAUGACCGAUGCGAAGAGCUUUUUUAUAGUGUAAAAUUUGCCGAAAAGGAAUAG